GCCCCUUAGAGCAAAAGAUGAUUCCUGGCAAGGCACACGGCUGCAAAAGACAUCACUGAAUUGCUCGGGAGUACAACAGUAAUGAAGGUAUUUUGCGAUUCCUUGAAGGUGGAUUUUUAAAUUACAAGGUACAUUUAAAUUACUGGAUGCCUCAAAAAAGGCUUUUUUAAGUCCCAUGUUAUGUCAAUCUACUAAAACAUAAAUACUUCCGUGCAACAAUCCAGGGUGCAUUCUGCAAAGGUGCAGAAGGAAAAAAAAAAAACAAAACGACGGUUUAUCUUCGGGACGUUCAUUACA